CCCCUUUGCCCCGCCUCUCGCCAUUUCCGAAGAGUUACGGAGAGGGGGUAGGGACAGAGGGCAGGAAGAGGCGCGUGCGCGCGCCCGCGCCAACCUUCCGCUUGGGGUUGAGAGCAGAGGGGGGGACGGAGGCGAGGCCUGGGGGUUCACGUGACUGUCAGCGCUAGCCUUCUCCUGGGGAAUUUCCUGAGUGGUCUUCCGCUCCUCAGUGAUGCAAACCGUCCUCGUGCCGCUCCUCCUUAGCUUCCAAGGUUUCUUUUAACCGUUCGGUUAAAUUUCUAACCUAGAGCAUGGAUCCUCACAACUGCAUCCAUGGCGCCUGUCAUCCAGACUCUCCCCUGUUGAGGAGCUCACUGCUGCGCAAGAAGUCCGCUUUUUUGCCCUGUUCUUGGACUCUCUAGUCUGGCAUCAAUUCAGUGGAAUGAGGAAUGCAAAGGAGAGAAAAUGGAAUUUUCUUGAUUAAAAAACCCUCCAAACUUAAAAAUAAAAGUGUUUGGAAGCUAUGAGCUGAUUGUA